GACGAACGCUGGCGGCGUGCUUAACACAUGCAAGUCGAACGGAAAGGCCCUGCUUUUGUGGGGUGCUCGAGUGGCGAACGGGUGAGUAACACGUGAGUAACCUGCCCUUGACUUUGGGAUAACUUCAGGAAACUGGGGCUAAUACCGGAUAGGAGCUCCUGCUGCAUGGUGGGGGUUGGAAAGUUUCGGCGGUUGGGGAUGGACUCGCGGCUUAUCAGCUUGUUGGUGGGGUAGUGGCUUACCAAGGCUUUGACGGGUAGCCGGCCUGAGAGGGUGACCGGCCACAUUGGGACUGAGAUACGGCCCAGACUCCUACGGGAGGCAGCAGUGGGGAAUAUUGCACAAUGGGCGGAAGCCUGAUGCAGCAACGCCGCGUGCGGGAUGACGGCCUUCGGGUUGUAAACCGCUUUCGCCUGUGACGAAGCGUGAGUGACGGUAAUGGGUAAAGAAGCACCGGCUAACUACGUGCCAGCAGCCGCGGUGAUACGUAGGGUGCGAGCGUUGUCCGGAUUUAUUGGGCGUAAAGGGCUCGUAGGUGGUUGAUCGCGUCGGAAGUGUAAUCUUGGGGCUUAACCCUGAGCGUGCUUUCGAUACGGGUUGACUUGAGGAAGGUAGGGGAGAAUGGAAUUCCUGGUGGAGCGGUGGAAUGCGCAGAUAUCAGGAGGAACACCAGUGGCGAAGGCGGUUCUCUGGGCCUUUCCUGACGCUGAGGAGCGAAAGCGUGGGGAGCGAACAGGCUUAGAUACCCUGGUAGUCCACGCUGUAAACGGUGGGUACUAGGUGUGGGGUCCAUUCCACGGGUUCCGUGCCGUAGCUAACGCUUUAAGUACCCCGCCUGGGGAGUACGGCCGCAAGGCUAAAGCUCAAAGGAAUUGACGGGGCCCCGCACAAGCGGCGGAGCAUGCGGAUUAAUUCGAUGCAACGCGUAGAACCUUACCUGGGUUUGACAUGGAUCGGGAGUGCUCAGAGAUGGGUGUGCCUCUUUUGGGGUCGGUUCACAGGUGGUGCAUGGCUGUCGUCAGCUCGUGUCGUGAGAUGUUGGGUUAAGUCCCGCAACGAGCGCAACCCUUGUUCACUGUUGCCAGCACGUUAUGGUGGGGACUCAGUGGAGACCGCCGGGGUCAACUCGGAGGAAGGUGGGGAUGACGUCAAGUCAUCAUGCCCCUUAUGUCCAGGGCUUCACGCAUGCUACAAUGGCUGGUACAGAGAGUGGCGAGCCUGUGAGGGUGAGCGAAUCUCGGAAAGCCGGUCUCAGUUCGGAUUGGGGUCUGCAACUCGACCUCAUGAAGUCGGAGUCGCUAGUAAUCGCAGAUCAGCAACGCUGCGAUGAAUACGUUCCCGGGGCU
rnacentral:rRNA from 1 species